GAACGAACGCUGGCGGCGUGGAUUAGGCAUGCAAGUCGAACGCGAAAGAGGGGGCAACCCCUCGAGUAGAGUGGCGAACGGGUGAGUAACGCGUGAAGAACCUGCCUUCAACAGGGGGAGUAACACUCCCAACGGGGUGGCUAAUACCGCAUGAGACCACGGAUCUGCAUGGAUCUGAGGUCAAAGGUGGCCUCUGCUUGCAAGCUACCGGUUGAAGAUGGCUUCGCGUCCCAUUAGCUAGUUGGCGGUGUAACGGACCACCAAGGCGACGAUGGGUAGCUGGUCUGAGAGGAUGGUCAGCCACACUGGGACUGAGAUACGGCCCAGACUCCUACGGGAGGCAGCAGUCGAGAGGC
rnacentral:rRNA from 1 species